rnacentral:lncRNA from 1 species
GUCGAAAAAAGAAAACAAAAUCCUCGACACACCCGUUUCAGCAUUUAUUAGGAGAGAAUCCAAUGACCGAGUUUUCAAGAUCAUAACUGACACGUGUCCCUUGCUGCUGCACAUUCCCAAUAAUCGAAAGCGAAGACGACGUCGGAGCAAACGCAAAACAAAACGUCCCAGACGAGUCAACCGGUAUCAAAUAAUUCUUAGCCGGUAAAUCCAGUUUCUUCCCGUUAGUAAAAUGAAACGACACCGUUGGCACCUGCACACUCUUCCUUUUAGACAAAUCAUAACAAGUAUCAAACAACGCCACACCGGUUGCCGCCGGUAACUCCUUCGUCCCCUUCGUAAACGCAUCUCGCAACACGUUAUACGCUUCCGUCUGCAACCGAGUAAUCGCCGUACCGGAGUCAACAAUCACACCGGAGUUACCGUCGUUAGUCAACUUAAACGUCGAUGACGGAAUAUUCAACAGCUGACCAGCAACACUUAUACCUGUUAAUCCGAUAUAGUAAAACGUGUCAAGCUUUGAGUUACGUAACAACGGAGCGGUUAUCGCGUCGUGAGGAAUCGGUGAGUUGAACUCGAGAGUUGACGCCGAGUCGGAAUCGCGGUCCACAAGGCAGUAAGAGUAUGACGUGGCGUUUAUUUGUGACGGAAAUGAUAACCGUCCACCGCCUAAUCCGAUUAAUCCGGCAGCUCCGACGAAUAAUCCUUCGUUGUUAUGUCCACAUCCGAUGGCGAUAUUCUCAACGGUUGUAGAUCCUUGAAGCGUUAGCGUCUCCGUCACGAAAUCUCCGACGGUGUAGGAUCCGUCGCCGUACGACACUUCGUACAGGCACGUGCCGUUUCUGCACUCCGAAACGUCUAGAGAUUUGCACUGGUGAGCGUCGCACGUGAGAGGAGAAUACGAAGAGGAUGAAGCCGGCUCGAAAAUAGGAUCGGCUUGCUGGUAGCAAUCGGCGCAUGGUGCGCAUUGUAGCCAGUUGACGUCACUUCCGGUGUCUAGCACCAUAUAAGCUUGACUCGCUGGAUGACCGAUUCCGACUCGGCAGAAAUACUCUCCGCUUCCUUGACUCGUACCGGAAACAACCGGAACUUCUAAAUUUUCAACCGAAAGCUCAGUGUCAACCGGUUUCAGAUCUGACUUCUUGACGCCGUUUACAGCUAGAUCUAACCUCGUUUGAAGCGACUCAACUCGCGCUGAGUCACGAGCGAGUCGAGCUAGCGUAACUGACUUAUAACUUUUGUGUGAGGAUUUGUGAACGGCGACUCGAGAAUGCAGUUGCAGAGACAGAAUCGAAGAGGAAGAAGAUGAAGAAGAAAGUUCAGAUGACGUCAGCAUUUGAGAUUGUUGAGGUUGAGCUCCGAUGUGGAUACGGUGGUGGCUGGUGAGAUGGUGCGGGGGUGAACGGUGGAGAAUGCGAAGGUGAAGAGGAUACAGAGGAGAUGAAACCCUAAUUUCGCCAUUGAAGAGUGUGGAGUGAAGAGUGAAGAAGGGGAAAGGUGGAUAUAUAGAGGGGAAAUACGUUGAUGAUUAUUAUUAUUAUAUUAAGGUUUAAAGUUGAUGAUUAUUAUUAUAUUAAGGUUUAAAAUAUUUAAAGGUGUCAUUCUCGUUGAUUUGUUGCUUAAAAUCUAUUUCUUUGCGUCGGUCAAACAAAUUUUUGCGCGAUUAUCGAUUAAUUACUAGUUUAAUCCAUUUGAUUUUG